rnacentral:lncRNA from 1 species
UUUUGUUUUACUGAAACUCUGAAUUUAUAACCUGAUUUUUGUGGACCUGUGGGCUCAAAUGAUAGAGGCCCAAGUCCAAAUUUUUUCUUUUAUUUAUUUAUUUAUUUAUUAUUAUUAUUAUUAUUAUAUUUUUUUUUCGUUUUUUUUUCAUUUUUUUAAAACACGUGGGCUUCGCCUAGCGAGCAUGACAGUUCAAGAAAUUCCUCUG